GAUGAACGCUGGCGGCGUGCCUAAUACAUGCAAGUCGAGCGAACAGACGAGGAGCUUGCUCCUCUGACGUUAGCGGCGGACGUGUGAGUAACACGUGGAUAACCUACCUAUAAGACUGGGAUCACUUCGGGAAACCGGAGCUAAUACCGGAUAAUAUAUUGAACCGCAUGGUUCAAUAGUGAAAGACGGUUUUGCUGUCACUUAUAGAUGGAUCCGCGCCGCAUUAGCUAGUUGGUAAGGUAACGGCUUACCAAGGCAACGAUGCGUAGCCGACCUGAGAGGGUGAUAGGCCACACUGGAACUGAGACACGGUCAAGACGCCUAAGGGAGGCAGCAGUAGGGAAUCUUCCGCAAUGGGCGAAAGCCUGACGGAGCAACGCCGCGUGAGUGAUGAAGGUCUUCGGAUCGGAAAACUCUGUUAUGAGGGAAGAACAAAUGUGGAAGUAACUAUGCACGUCUUGACGGUACCUAAUCAGAAAGCCACGGCUAACUACGUG
rnacentral:rRNA from 1 species